rnacentral:rRNA from 1 species
AGUGAACGCUGGCGGCGUGCUUAACACAUGCAAGUCGAACGAGAACGGAUUAUAGCUUGCUAUAAUUGUCAGCUAAGUGGCGCACGGGUGAGUAAUGUAUAGGUAAUAUGCCUCUUACUAAGGGAUAACAAAUGGAAACGUUUGCUAAUACCUUAUACUCCUUAUUAACAGAAGUUAAUAAGGGAAAGAUUUAUUGGUAAGAGAUUAGCCUGUAUUGUAUCAGUUAGUUGGUGGGGCAAUGGCUUACCAAGACUAUGACACAUAACUGGUUUGAGAGGAUGAUCAGUCACACUGGAACUGAGACACGGUCCAGACUCCUACGGGAGGCAGCAGUGGGGAAUAUUGCACAAUGGACGAAAGUCUGAUGCAGCAACGCCGCGUGGAGGAUGACACAUUUCGGUGCGUAAACUCCUUUUGUAUGAGAAGAUAAUGACGGUAUUAUAUGAAUAAGCACCGGCUAACUCCGUGCCAGCCGCCGCGGUAA